GGCGCUGUGGUUUCGUUGGUAAAAGCGCCUGUCUAGUAAACAGGAGAUCCUGAGUUCAAAUCACAGCAGUGCCU
rnacentral:tRNA from 1 species